UACGAAGGGGGCUAGCGUUGCUCGGAAUUACUGGGCGUAAAGGGCGCGUAGGCGGCACUGUUAGUCAGGCGUGAAAGUCCUGGGCUCAACCUGGGAACUGCGCUUGAUACGGCAGAGCUAGAGGAUGGAAGAGGCUCGCGGAAUUCCCAGUGUAGAGGUGAAAUUCGUAGAUAUUGGGAAGAACACCGGUGGCGAAGGCGGCCACCUGGACGGUCACUGACGCUGAGACGCGAAAGCGUGGGUAGCAAACAGG
rnacentral:rRNA from 1 species